rnacentral:lncRNA from 1 species
CUUUUAUAUGAUUUCUAAACUAUUUCUUUUGGCAGAAAAAUUGAUGUUAUGCUGUACUUAAAUGUUCCAAUAGUGUUUGUUUUGUCGAUGCAUCAGUAUAUAAGUGCAGCAAUAACUCAGGAUGAGCCAAGAUACACAUGCUCUUACAUAACUGUUCUUUGCAUUAUCAUAACACUAACAUUUCAAUAGCAGUUUUGUUUUUAAUAAAAAUAAGCUUGGAUUUUGUGUUUCAGGGAAAGCAACAAAAGGCAACAGAAAACUUCAAGUCAUGCAAGAAAAGAAGAAAAAGAAAAUGAAAACAAAAGCCAGUUCACUUCCAGACAUCUCCAUUCUUAAAACGUUCAUGAAAACCUAUGAAAGGCAUUGUGCCCUUUCCCAAAGCUCUGUCAGUGUCACAAUCAAACAGAGUUUAAAAAGAUGCCUAGGGAAUGAAAUAGCUCUUACUAAGUUUGUGCUUACAAGCUCUGAGAACUCAAAAGGAGAUGUGCAGCCAGUCUCCCUCACUCCCUUACUAAGGACAAUUAGAGAUGAACGUUAUAUGUUGGGAAAGGAACUUUGUGUCUGGGGAAUACAGCUAAGCAAUCAAGAUAUUGCAAACCUUGCACUGCUUUUGGAGCAGGAUGGAUGUACCACCUACCCUUUCUGUAGCCUAGAAAUCAUACAUACUGUAAUAGAUGCAUGGUCUGUGGAACGACUUGGAGCAGCUUUGCCUGUCAGCAACUUGAGCUCUAUUGUACUGGAUUAUACUAACAAUCUGUAUCUGAAUGGUAACAACUUGCAAUGCUUGGGUGCCCUUGAACUCAUCAAGCCAAUAGCUGUGUAUGCGAACAAUCUUGCAAGAGAUAAGGAAACAAAUACCAUGAAAUUCAGCAAUGCUACUGGACAUCAGAUGCAUGAAGUAGGCAAAGGUUUAAAUGUGCAUUCAGCAGCUUCUGGCAUGAACAUUACCCCCAAAACAACAAGGUCUAAUACAACAGAAAGUAUUAUUGGAUCUAAAAAAAGAAAAAAGAAUCCAGAAAUUGGUUCAUGGUUAGUUAAAUUACGUUUGGCUGACAAUGGCAUAGAUGGAAGAGGAAAAGGAGGACAAAAUAUGGUCUUGGAGUUCACGCAGUUUUUAAUUUACCUAAUCAAGUACUCUGAACACUUAAUGGAACUAGACCUGGAUGGCAAUGCUAUUGGAGAACUUUGUUCAGCUGACGUAAAGGAUGCUCUUAAGGAGAGACUAAAUGCAAAGAUGCCCAACUUAACCAUUAAGGUUACAUACCAGAUUUCCUCAGAAACUUUUGGAUCUAUUUUCAAGAAUGGCAAGAAGUCCAAGUCAACUAGAAAGAAAAAGAAAAAGACAACAAAGUGAUUGUUAAGACUACAUUUUCCUGCAGAUGGGACUGUGUACAAAAAAAAAUAAUAUACUUCAGCAGAUUAUUUCUUAACAUGGCUCUCUGCCUUUCUAAAUACUACAGUUUUUGUGUGUAAUUUUUUUCAAUUUACUCCAUCGUAUAGGAAUAAAAUACAAAACAUUAUUGUAUGAAACA